rnacentral:sRNA from 1 species
UCACCAAGAGCUACCUGAGCAAGUCCCAG